rfam:Klebsiella pneumoniae subsp. pneumoniae MGH 78578, complete sequence.
CACAGCUGGUGGCGCACCUCCUGACGACGGGCGGCGUGAUCGCGUUUUGCAUUCAGCAUACAGAUACCCGGCCCGCCAAUGAGCGGGCUUUUUAUU